rnacentral:rRNA from 1 species
GUUCAUGGCUCAGGACGAACGCUGGCGGCGUGCCUAAUACAUGCAAGUCGAGCGGACAGAUGGGAGCUUGCUCCCUGAUGUUAGCGGCGGACGGGUGAGUAACACGUGGGUAACCUGCCUGUAAGACUGGGAUAACUCCGGGAAACCGGGGCUAAUACCGGAUGGUUGUUUGAACCGCAUGGUUCAAACAUAAAAGGUGGCUUCGGCUACCACUUACAGAUGGACCCGCGGCGCAUUAGCUAGUUGGUGAGGUAACGGCUCACCAAGGCGACGAUGCGUAGCCGACCUGAGAGGGUGAUCGGCCACACUGGGACUGAGACACGGCCCAGACUCCUACGGGAGGCAGCAGUAGGGAAUCUUCCGCAAUGGACGAAAGUCUGACGGAGCAACGCCGCGUGAGUGAUGAAGGUUUUCGGAUCGUAAAGCUCUGUUGUUAGGGAAGAACAAGUACCGUUCGAAUAGGGCGGUACCUUGACGGUACCUAACCAGAAAGCCACGGCUAACUACGUGCCAGCAGCCGCGGUAAUACGUAGGUGGCAAGCGUUGUCCGGAAUUAUUGGGCGUAAAGGGCUCGCAGGCGGUUUCUUAAGUCUGAUGUGAAAGCCCCCGGCUCAACCGGGGAGGGUCAUUGGAAACUGGGGAACUUGAGUGCAGAAGAGGAGAGUGGAAUUCCACGUGUAGCGGUGAAAUGCGUAGAGAUGUGGAGGAACACCAGUGGCGAAGGCGACUCUCUGGUCUGUAACUGACGCUGAGGAGCGAAAGCGUGGGGAGCGAACAGGAUUAGAU